GCAAGAUGCAGCUUUAAAAAAUGGUAGUUAUACCCCGCAUGAUUAACUACAGGAUUUAACAUUCAGGGGGCGGACUCUUCCCCCUGAGUGUAUGCCU
rnacentral:ncRNA from 1 species